rnacentral:rRNA from 1 species
UACGCGAAGAACCUUCCCAAUCUUGACCUCUUCUACCCCUCUAGAGAUAGAGUUUUCCCUUCGGGGACAGAGUGACAGGUGGUGCAUGGUUGUCGUCAGCUCGUGUCGUGAGAUGUUGAGUUAAGUCCCGCAACGAGCGCAACCCUUAAGCUUAGUUGCCAUCAUUAAGUUGGGCACUCUAAGUUGACUGCCGGUGACAAACCGGAGGAAGGUGGGGAUGACGUCAAAUCAUCAUGCCCCUUAUGAUUUGGGCUACACACGUGCUACAAUGGACAAUACAAAGGGUGGCGAAACCGCGAGGUCAAGCAAAUCCCAUAGAGUUGUCUCAGUUCGGAUUGUAGUCUGCAACUCGACUACAUGAAGCUGAAUCGCUAGUAAUCGUGGAUCAGCAUGCACGGUGAAUACGUUCUCGGGUCUAGUACACACGC